rnacentral:lncRNA from 1 species
CAAAAGGUCAAAUCGAAGAAAGGCUGGCAGAGAAGAAUGAGAGUGAGUAGAUCAAGCUACGGCUACAGCUUCUUGGUGAGUUAUUUUAUUUUCCCUAGAUGUGGUCAAACAUCUGGAACCCUGUACUUCAGAUCAUUAUUCUACUAUACUACUUACUUAUCUGGAAGCCUAUUUUCCUAGAAUAAACUUUCCAAAUAGUGGAUCUCUGUGGCCCAGGUGGUCUUGAUACUUAUCAAUUAUAUUGCAAUAAGAUAGUUGCAAAUCAUGGUCAUACUAUUGAAUAUAACACAAACAUGAAGAAGGUAAAACAUCUAAAAGUACCCAAAACAAGAAAGGAUACCAUUUUCUGUAUAUUGAACAAGCUAUGUUAAUACACUGAAAUAACACUUACAUUUCAAAAUAUAGUGACUCAAGGAAACAAACGAAGAUACAGAACAAUAAAUCAUACUAAAAUUAUCACAAAAUUGAGGAAGUACAAACUUCUAGGUAUAAAAAACAGGGAUUAUUUCAAGAGUAAUGAGUGGUUUCAAAAUUAAAACAGGAUAUAAGUAGACUUACAGAAUCUCUUCCCAAAGCAGCAUAAUGUUGUAAGCCAUUACAGGAACCAUCCUAAAAUUCAUCAUAGUAGUGUUGUUAGCAGUUUUUAAAAAAUUCUCAGUAAAAGUGAUAGGAGACCAGUGUUUAAGAGACUGUAUGUAAGGGUUAUUACAGGAGAAAUACAACAAUAACUGAAUAGCUUAUAAAUAAGAGCCAUGGCUCAAGGGGUGCGUGAACUCUUGUGGAUGAAGAUCAUACUUGAUGACCUAAAAAUAAAAUAUGAAGCUCCUAUCACAUUGAUCAAUAGACAGUUAGUUAUAGCAGUUAAAACUGUUUUACCUGCAUCUUAUGCAGUAUUGGGUAGAGAUAGACCGACACUUUAUUAAAGAGAAGUUGGAUGAUGGUCUUAUAGCCACUAAGUACAUCCCUUCAAUCUUUCCUUUCCCUCUUCAACCUUUUAUGGUAUCAAGAGCAAACUAUGGCUUCAUCAUCAAGCACUGCAAACAAUUCUGAAAAUUCUUCUCCCAAACCCGAUGUUGCAUAAUCAGGAGAAUUAUGUUAUAAUUAAGUGCAUAUUCCAUUUUAUAUUUAUUAGGACAGAUUUGUUAGUGAUUUGAUUUGUACAACUUUAAACACCCAUUAUUUCUUGCUUUCAUUACCUAUUAUUUCUUUCCUUAAUUAGGUUGUAAAACAGUCUAUAAACAGAGACUAUAAUCACAUUUGUAAAAUAUCUCAGAAAUAUAUUUCAUCUAUUUCUUUCCACUCCCGAGACUCUUCUUCCUCACAUUUUUCAUACACCAAUAUCCCUUAAGCUUGAUCCAAAUAAUUUCUUGGUCUGGAGACAACAAGUCACUGCAACUCUCCACAGCCUUGAUCUUCUUCACUUCUUGGAUGGCACAUGUAUCCCACCGCGUUUCUUCUCUGCUGAUGGGGAUUCUUCUCCUUUUGUUAAUCCCAAAUAUAUCAUAUAUGAUCGCCAAGAUCAAUCCAUCCUAGCCUAGUUAUUGGCUUCCAUGACUUCCGGUAUUCUCACCAAAAUGGUUGGUCUGGAUUCUUCGCAUCAAGUUUGGCAUAAACUCCAGACUCACUAUGCAUCCCAAACCAGAGCCCAAAUCAAGAAACACAAACAGCUUCUGCGCACACCCAAAAAGGAUCGAUCUGUCUCUGCCUAUCUUCUUGAAAUCAAAAAAACUGUUGACACCUUGGCUAUUGUGGGUUGUCCCAUCUCUACCGAGGAUCACAUUGAAGUUGUUCUUGAUGGGUUUCAGUGGAUCAGAUUCUGAAGGAACACGUGUCCUUUGUUCCAUCUUCCUUCUCCCAAUCAAACUACAAUUCUGCCAAACCUUUCUCUUCAACCCAUACCUCUGGUCCUAGUAAACAAAGAUUUUCUUCCAAGGCACGUUUUUCAAACUCCAAGAACUACAACAAGCUGCCAUCUAAUACCUUUUUCUUCUCGGGUGCAAUGUCAAAUUUGUGGAAAAUAUGGGCACACUGCCCUUCAUUGCUGGCAUAGGUUUGAUUCCUCUACUCCCUCUCAAGUUAAUGCUAACUCCACUCAUUUUUCUUCGCCUCUUAGUGAUGAUGAACCAUCGAUCCUUGGUACCCAACUACUUCAUGAUCCUCUUUGGUACCCUGAUAGUGGUGCUUCUCAUCAUCUAACUUCUCACAACACUAAUCUUUCCACCAAAACACCAUACAUAGGUUCAGAAAAAGUCGCUAUAGGUAAUGGUUCACGGCUCCAUAUUACAUUUAUUGGUAUUGCCACUUAUACUGAUCUCAAUACACAUAAUACGUUCUCUUUACAACAUUUACUACAUGUUCCCACUAUAUCCAAAAAUUUGUAAGUGUUUCUCAGUUUGCACGUGAUAAUCAUGUCUUUUUUGAGUUCCAUGCUGAUAUUUGUCUUGUUAAACGUCAGGGAACAGACGAGAUUAUGCUUCAAGGACAGCUUAAAGAUGGUCUUUAUAUCUUUCCUAAUCUUGUUCAUACCGCUCCUUGUUCUGCAUACACCACUGAUGUUACACCUGGUUCCUCUACAUAUCAUUUGUGGCACUCACGUUUUGGUCAUCCCAACCUUAAGUGAUUCACCAAAUUAUGAAACACUGUAAUAUACCUUACAUUGCUAAACGUGAAUUCUGUGAUUCUUGUGUUGUCGGCAAAUCGCAUCAACUACCCUUUAUUGCUUCUCAAACUAUAUACUCUAAACCUCUCCAACUUGUUUUCAUUGAUAUUUGGGGCCCAUCUGCUACCCCAACAACUAAUGGUGCUUGUAACUAUAUUUCUUUUGUGGAUGCUUACACUAGAUAUGUUUGGUUCUACUUAAUACACACUAAAUCACAGGCUCUGAGUGUUUUCCAGUCCUUCAAAUUAUAUGUGGAAAAACAAAUUGGUUUUCAACUUUUAAGCAUUCAAACUAACAAUGCCAAAGAGUUUCUCUGUUUGAAAUCUUUUCUUUCCUCUAAUGGGAUAACCCAUCGUUUAACCUGCCCUCACGCGCAUGAACAAAAUGGUUCUGUUGAACGUAAGCGUAGGCAUAUAGUUGAUAUAGGUUUAACCUUGCUAGCACGUCUGCUUUACCCAUGCAUUUUUUGGGGCUAUGCUUUAACUACUGUUGUUUCUAUUAUAAAUGCUUUACCCACUUAUGUUUUAAACAAUCAUAGUCCAUAUUACCUCUUGUUUAACAAACACCCAGAUUAUUCUUUUUACAAAAUCUUUGGAUGUGCAUGUUAUCCGCUGCUCAUAUAAUAAACAUAAAAUGAGUUUUUGUUCUUCUUUAUGUGUUUUUCUUGGCUAUGCCUCUACUCACAAAGGAUAUCUUUGCCUCUCACCUACUGGUUGUAUAUAUAUUACUCGUCAUGUGAUUUUUUAUGAAAAUGUUUUUCCAUAUGCACUUUCGCCUAACCCUUUUUCCUUUGUUUCAUCACCUACUAAUAGUCCCUCCCCCUAGCACCCACUCUAACCAUUUUUCAGCAAUUGCCAUCUUCUGCUCCUCAACUACCAACUGAUGAACAUUUGUCUACGUCUCAUGUCUCUCAGCAAAAUACUGAGGAACUUUCCUCCUCUUCGUCUUCACCACAACCACCUAUCGUCUCCACCUGACUCGCUUUCCUCUGCUACCACUCCACCCAACAUUGUGUCUCAAAAUACUCAUCCUAUGAUUACACGUGCAAAGGCAACAUUGCUUCACCCAUGAACCUUCACUGCAACUGCGGUUUCUGUUUUACCCAAAUCCACCAAAGAUGCUUUACAUCAUCCACAAUGGUUAUCCUCCAUGCAAGAAGAAAUAAAUGCUCUAAACACUAAUAACACAUGGGUUCUCACUACUCUUCCUCCUGGAGUUCAACCAAUAGGUUGCAAAUGGAUUUUCAAAAUCAAAUACAAUCCUGAUGGAUCUUUUCAGAGGAACAAAGCCCGUCUAGUUGCCAACGGUUUUCAUAAGCAACUAGGUUUUGAUUAUUCUGAAACAUUCAGUCCUGUUAUAAAACCUGUAACCAUACGCAUUAUUCUCACUAUUGCUUUACAAUUAAAUUGGUCUGUGAAUCAAAUUGAUAUAAACAAUGCUUUCUUGUAUGGGGAUCUGGAGGAAUCUGUCUACAUGGUUCAACCCCCUAGAUUUGAAAUUGGUCCUUCUAACGUCGUUUGCAAACUCUACAAAGCCCUCUAUGGUUUGCAACAGGCACCCAGUUUGUGGUUUCACAAGCUAAUUGCAACUUUAAUUUCGCUUGGUUUUAGUCCUACCAAAAGUGACACUUCCCUAUUUCUUCAUUUUACAAAUGAUACCACCCUAUUUGUCCUAAGUUAUGUUGAUGAUAUUCUCAUUACAGGGAACUCUACACUGCCAUUCAACUCCUCAUCAAAUCUUAGCCAACAUUUUGCAUUAAAGAACCUAGGCAGUCUUCAAUACUUUCUGGGUGUUGAGGCUCAUUGGACAUCUGAUGGUGGCUUACAUCUCUCUCAAACCAUGUAUAUUUUGGAUCUUCUUCAGAAAACCAACAUGAUCUCUUCCAAGCCCCAACCAACACCAAUGCUCUCCCCUUCUCGUCUAACAAAAGAUGUCACAACUGUUGUCAAUGAUCCUUCUCUUUAUCAAUCUGUGGUUGGUUUUCUUCAAUACCUUCUCAUAACUUGACCAGAACUUGCCUACAACGUCAAUCGAGCGUGUCAGUUCAUGCAUAAUCCACAACACCACCACUGGAAAGCUGUCAAGCGAAUUUUACGUAUCUAGAUGGCACCACCACUCAUGGCCUCCAUCUUCGCUGCCCCUCUCAACUCGCGCUAAACACUUUUCAUAAUGCCAAUUGGGGUUUUGAUCCAGAUGACAGAAAAUCAACCUCAGGUGUUGUUGUAUAUCUCGGUUCUAACCCUAUUGCUUGGCUCUCAAAGAAACAAAAGGUCGUCUCCUGCAACUCUACGAAAGCUGAAUAUCACAGUAUUGUUGCCACCUUAGCUGAAAUAAAGUGGAUUCAAAAUCUGCUCACUGAACUUGGUCUUUUUUCCACUGAUCCCACCAUUUGGUCCGAUAAUGUUGUUCUUCUUGCCUCCAAUCCCAUAAUGCACUCCAAUACCAAACAUUUUGAGUUAGACCUUUACUUUGUUAGCGAUGUCAUUCAACAAAAACAACUGCAUCUCCUUCAUGUUCCUGCUACGUUACAAAUAGCUAAUAUCUUCACAAAUCCCUUAAGUGCUAACCCUUUUUCUAGUUUCUCACGUAAAUUAAUGGUGUUACCUAAAUCACACCAUUAAUUUAAGGGGGGAUGUUAGUUACAGCAGCUAAAACUGUUUUACCUGCAUAUUAUGCAGUAUUGGGUAUUAUAAAUACCCACUCUUUUCUGUUAUUUGUAAUAUUGAGAUAUACUGAAUAAUACAUCUUUCUAUCGCAUCUCUCUUUCUCUCCUUCAAUCUUUCCUUUCCCUCUUCAACCUUUUAACCUUUUAUAGACAUUUAAAAAAAAUAAAGGCUCAUUGCCUUGUUCUUUUUUUUUUCAAAAAUCUUUCAUUCUAUCAGUUGAAUCCUAUCAAAAAGUGAAAAAUAUUAACCUGAAAGCUGGAUACAUAUGACAAUGAUUUUCAGUAUGAAGAGCUUACCAUGCAAUUAGUUGUAAGAGUUUUGGUACCAAAUUUAAAUUUUUGUCUAUUCUGACUUUUCUUAUUAUUAGUAUUGUAUAAUGUAAACAUUCGGUUGAUUGUUUUCAAACGGAAUACUUUGUUGUUUGUUGCUUUCUAUUUUUUCUGUUUCUGUUUGAACUGUAUAUGGACUUUAUUCUUAAGUCUAUAUAUUGGUUUUCUUUCACUGUACUCAGACACUUGCGAAUGCAAUAAUAUUCUGUCUCUUUCUCUUAUGCUUUCUCUCUAUCUUUUACAUACCAAAAACUAUUACUUAUGAAUGUAUAGCAUAAUUUCUAUUGAUGAUCUGCAGAAAUUUUCUAUGCAUCAUAAUCUCACAGGGGAGCUUGGAGUCAGUUUGGUCACUUAUAGAAGUAGUCUGCAAAGUUAAAAUAUCUGUCUUUCAAUCCCAAGGCUUUCAAUAAAACAUUUACCUGAUGAAUUGGCAGAUUUGAGAUAACAGAAUUUGGUGACGAGCUUCUUAAGGCUUCUGACAGAUUAAUACAAGCAGCAAGGCACUGAAAAGGAUCCUCAGCCAUUAACCACCAACGAUUUCCAUUAAUAGGGUUAUCAGCAGAGUCAAAUAUAUCAUUGAGAUGAUUCUCUACAAAAGCUAGGCGGUCAUCAUAAGACAGUUUUUCAGUACCACCAGCAUAUAAAUUUGCCAAGUGUAUUUUCAGCCAGUGUAGUCCAGACUUUCCUAAUGGGCGCCCUUCAGCAAACUCAAGCAAUCCUCGACAUAGAUCACAACUUAAAUGAUUCAAAUGUGAAUGCAUGGGAUAUGCUCUACCACGGAAGUCAAUAUUGUGGGGAUAGUAAAAGCCUUCCUCUUCUUUCAUUUU